rnacentral:ncRNA from 1 species
GGUGGCGCGACGCAAGAGGGAACCCGGUGCGAAUCCGGGACUGUCCCGCAGCGGUGAGUGGGAACGAAAGCCGUCGAUGUCACUGGGCCCACGUCAGGGCCCGGGAAGAGACGGCCGGUAGGUGUCCGCCCUUUCGGCGGACGUGCCCGCGAGUCCGAAGACCUGCC